CCCGGCAAUAUCGCGGUGCCGGUAAGUUGUGGGCUGAGGUGAGAUGAUGUUCUCGAGGAUGUUGGUAAAUGACGUUUCUUUUGUUUAAAAAUGUUUGCUGCGAGUAUAAAAGUAGUUUAAAGUUUGUUAAGUAAUAUGGUUCAGUGUGAGAAUUCCAGUUUCUUUCUGCGUAUACUUACAUUACACGAGAGACUUGAUUGUGAAUUGUGUGAUGAAGAAACAUCAAACAUCGAUCUUCAGAAUAUGAAGAAUAAGAGUUGCAGAGUGGACGUCGAAGGGAGGCCAAACUUAUGACUUCGCGGCGACAUGGGUAGAUGGAAUUAACGUUUCAAGGCCUUUAAGCCGUCGUUGCGAUAAAGUUGCCGGGAAAGCUAGCCACUGGAGCAGCCCUGAGGACAGGUAGAGGAGCCGCGAUGGCCAAAGGAGCAGCCCUGAUGAUCGGAGCUGGUGCAGCAAUAGCCACAGGCGCGCUAUAGGCGAUCGGGGCGACUCCGAGGUAGCCGGCGUUGGCGGCGGCGAUGCAGGCGCACAAAAGGAUUACGAACUUGAACAUGGCGUUUGUUGGGCUGAUGCUCUCUUAGACUGAGGAAGAUUGAAUCUGAUGACAACGAGACGCUGAACGAGGGUUUUUAUACCGGAGAGUCACAAGGAUGACCGGUGACUACCACACAAGGUGGUACCGAAAGAGAUAAUGAGAGGAUAGGUGAUGCAUUGACCGGUUGAGGGAUUCAGGGCUGGUGAGAGGUUUUUUUGUAUGCUAUGGAACAAAAGAGCGAGCACUGCGGCUUUCGCGAAAGGACGAUUGAUGUGUUGCGACGGUGAAAGUUUUUCUUCCGCGUGUGAGUAAAGUUUGAGAAAAAGGUGCUUAUUAAAUAUGCAGAAUCUAUGAUGUCGGAGGUGCAUUUGUUGAUGAUUUUUAUCAAGCCAGUUUUAUAUUUCUAUAAAUACAAACAAAUACAAUGGUUUCCCACUAUCAAUAAUGGAAUUUACUACUUUUUUAAAAACUUUUGCAUUGAUUUAGUUAUGGGGCAGGUUUUUACUUUAGAUAUAAAAUUUUGCUUGGUUUUUUAAAGCUUUUUUGGUAAUGCGACUCAUUGUUCGCAAGAUUUAAAAUAAGUAGUAAAUCACAACUUCUAUUCCAAUUUAUUGUUUAAGUGUUUUCCAUCAUUGUAAGAUCAUUUAUGAAUAAAAGGUCAAUUUAAAAAUUCUAUUGUUACCCUAUUACUCAUCUAUCCGUACAUUGUUAAUUGAAAAUCAAAGGAUUACAAAACUUUCUUCAUAGAUUGAGCGUGAGAUAAAUUUACUAUCAUAUCUCUGACUAAAGAAUGUGUACACGUGUUCGUGGAAAAUGCAUAUGCAGUAACACUGCGCUAGUUCUUGCAUCAGCCGA